AUUGAACGCUGGCGGCAGGCCUAACACAUGCAAGUCGAGCGGAUGAAGGGAGCUUGCUCCUGGAUUCAGCGGCGGACGGGUGAGUAAUGCCUAGGAAUCUGCCUGGUAGUGGGGGAUAACGUCCGGAAACGGGCGCUAAUACCGCAUACGUCCUGAGUGAGAAAGUGGGGGAUCUUCGGACCUCACGCUAUCAGAUGAGCCUAGGUCGGAUUAGCUAGUUGGUGGGGUAAAGACCUACCAAGGCGACGAUCCGUAACUGGUCUGAGAGGAGGAUCAGUCACACUGGAACUGAGACACGGUCCAGACUCCUACGGGAGGCAGCAGUGGGGAAUAUUGGACAAUGGGCGAAAGCCUGAUCCAGCCAUGCCGCGUGUGUGAAGAAGGUCUUCGGAUUGUAAAGAACUUUAAGUUGGGAGGAAGGGCAGUAAGUUAAUACCUUGCUGUUUUGACGUUACCAACAGAAUAAGCACCGGCUAACUUCGUG
rnacentral:rRNA from 1 species